rnacentral:rRNA from 1 species
UACGGGGGGGGCAAGCGUUGUUCGGAAUUACUGGGCGUAAAGGGCGCGUAGGCGGUGCUCUAAGUCGGAUGUGAAAACUCUGGGCUCAACCCAGAGCCUGCAUCCGAAACUGGAGUGCUAGAGUUCUGGAGGGGGUAGCGGAAUUCCUGGUGUAGCGGUGAAAUGCGUAGAUAUCAGGAGGAACACCGGUGGCGAAGGCGGCUACCUGGACAGAAACUGACACUGAGGAGCGAAAGCCAGGGGAGCAAACGGG